rnacentral:rRNA from 1 species
UACGUAGGGGGCGAGCGUUGUCCGGAUUUAUUGGGCGUAAAGCGUGCGUAGGCGGCUGCGCAAGUCGGUUGUGAAACCCCGGGGCUCAACCCCGGAACUGCAUCCGAUACUGCGUGGCUAGAGGUAGGUAGGGGAGAUCGGAAUUCCUGGUGUAGCGGUGAAAUGCGCAGAUAUCAGGAGGAACACCGGUGGCGAAGGCGGCUCACUGGCCCGGUACUGACGCUGAGGUGCGAAAGCGUGGGGAGCAAACAGG